AGACUGUUAAUCUAUUGGUCGCAGGUUCGAGUCCUGCUC
rnacentral:tRNA from 14 species